UGGUGUGCCUGGGCCUGAGCAGCAUCGUUGGCGUCUGGUACCUGCUGAGGAAGCACUGGAUUGCCAACAACCUUUUUGGCCUGGCCUUCUCCCUUAAUGGAGUAGAGCUCCUGCACCUCAACAAUGUCAGCACUGGCUGCAUCCUGCUGGGUGGACUCUUCAUCUACGAUGUCUUCUGGGUAUUUGGCACCAAUGUGAUGGUGACAGUGGCCAAGUCCUUCGAGGCACCAAUAAAAUGUAAGUGACCACUCCGCCACAGGGAACCCCUUCCCCCACCCCUGCCGGGCCAUGCCCCCCAGCGCAUUUCAGUCAGUGCAUCUCCCUAUCUCUUCCCCAUGUACCUCUUCCUCCUGUGGCUCUCCAGCCUGGUUUCCUUAUCCUCAUUGAUUCCUCUGGCUGUGUUCAUCCUGCCCAGGCCCCAGCCUCUGGCCACUUGGUCAUGGUGCAGCAUGGUGUGAAAUGAGCCAAAGUGGGAGCGAGCACGGAGAGGAAGUGUUUAACCCAGCCUGGGGGGCACGCGCAGGGGCUUUGAGGAGAGAAAACCUCUAAGCCGAGACCCCUCACUGGGGUCCCCUUGGUACCUG
rnacentral:sRNA from 1 species